UAGUCAUUCAGGCGUUCGCGAGGUCAGCUGCGUCCCCUCGCCGUGAUUAGAACAUCUGCUGUUGCCACGAGAAACGCCCGACGUUUACAAACAAAGGUCACCAGUUAACACGGAAACCAGUUAAUCCGUAACACCUGUUCAGAUUAACACAGACCGAGCAGAGAGAGCGGAAAAUAAAGAUAAUGCCACAUAAAAGGACCCGGAAUUAUUAGCCCAGAAAGUGGAAAAUGUGCACGACAGAAAAGAUAAACGGGAUUAUUAAAUCUGUGGAGGCGGUGAGAGAGAGCAGCGAGGAGGAGGGAGGCGGUGCCCCGGCACAGGACACACUGCGUCCUGACUAACAGCGAGAUGAAGGCAGAGAAUGGACAUGUGAAGGACAUAUUUGAGGAUGGCGUUGAAAUGGAGGAUGAAUGUACUGCCCCCGUAUUGUUUACAUCUGCGUCUGGCCAGUCCUCUCCGACCUCAACCCCACGCCCCAGGGCGGAGAGGAGGGGGGGGCAUCCAGACGUUUGGCUCCUACCAGCAGCUUCUCACUGAACUCUACCUGCAUAACCCAACUUCAACACAGAAACACCGCCGCUGCCGCUUGGGAUUGAUCGAAACUGAUUGAGACGACGAAAUUACAGACGCUGCUCUGUUUAAGCUGCCAGGUCGACAAUAUGUUAAAAUACCACAGGAUGAAAAAAUGGCCAAGACUAUAAAACCACCGGUUACACAAGAUAGAAAUGUCAGCUGGAGAAAAUCUGUAGGUACCAGUAGACUAUGAACAAUCUAAUAAAUGAAUACAGUAGAAAAUAUGGAGAAAAGCAUGACUGUUGCAACUCCCAACUGUUAUUUCAUGUUGAUGUGAAUUAUUUCCAGUGUCUUAAUGUCAUUUCAACAAAUACAAACGCCCGAACAAGAUUUAUUUGCAUUUUUUUUAUUGUGUUGCCUUGAGAUUAUCAAACAAAGGAGUAUUAAAGAGUGUAUAACUUCUGCCGAUCUGCAACAGCAGUGACAAAACUGUGUCACGCGUUACGGUGGCCUAUAGUUGACAUAAAUAACAGAAGUUCUGUAUCACCAUGUAGAGGUGGAACAUGGCGAGAGAUUGAAGGAGAGAUUAUUAAACAGAAACAGGGAAUAUCACCGUGCUGAAAACUAGAAUAAUAAAACUGCCUUGAGUUUUGUCUUUUGUUUCUUUUGUGAUGUUACUGAAUUCACGUUUAACUGCUGCUUUAUUGAGAUAUAUCAAACUGUGAUUUAAUUGUCACUUUAUCUUAAUACACCAACAUGGAAGCUGGUCCAUUAAAUGCAGUCUGCUCGACUCACUUUGUUUU